CUCCACUUCAAAAAACGAUUGUGAUUGCCAGCUAGCUACAGAUUCAGCGCGGCACUUCUCCACUGCUACGGCAUUUCAGUGCUCAGUUAGUGCCUGGCUGGAGCUCCACUUCAGAAAACGAUUGUGAAUGCCAGCUAGCUACAGAUCCAG